GAUGAACGCUAGCGGCAGGCUUAACACAUGCAAGUCGAGGGGUAGAGUUAGCCUGCUAACUUGAGACCGGCGCACGGGUGCGUAACGCGUAUGCAAUCUACCUUGUACAGAGGGAUAGCCCAGAGAAAUUUGGAUUAAUACCUCAUAGUAUUAUUGAAUGGCAUCAUUUGAUUAUUAAAGUUCCAACGGUACAAGAUGAGCAUGCGUCCCAUUAGCUAGAUGGUAAGGUAACGGCUUACCAUGGCAACGAUGGGUAGGGGUCCUGAGAGGGUGACACCCCACACUGGUACCGGUACACGGACGAGACUCCUACGGGAGGCAGCAGUGAGGAAUAUUGGUCAAUGAGCGGAAGCCUGAACCAGCCAUGCCGCUUGCAGGAAGACGGUCCAAUGGAUUGUAAACUGCUUUUAUACGGGAAGAAACCCGGCUACGUGUAGCAGCUUGACGGUACCGUAAGAAUAAGCAUCGGCUAACUCCGUGCCAGCAGCCGCCGUAA
rnacentral:rRNA from 1 species